rnacentral:rRNA from 1 species
UACGUAGGGGGCAAGCGUUGUCCGGAAUCAUUGGGCGUAAAGCGCGUGUAGGCGGCUCGGUAAGUCCGCUCUGAAAGUCCAGGGCUCAACCCUGGGAUGCGGGUGGAUACUGCCGGGCUCGAGUCCGGAAGAGGCGAGUGGAAUUCCCGGUGUAGCGGUGAAAUGCGCAGAUAUCGGGAGGACACCAAUGGCGAAGGCAGCUCGCUGGGACGUGACUGACGCUGAGACGCGAAAGCGUGGGGAGCGAACAGG